GAUGACACGUUAACCUCCUCCGUCCAAGCAACAUGAAACUGGCAGCCGGCCGCCCCCCUCCCCCUCCUCAAACAGUUUUGUCGUGCCGGCUUUCUGCCCUCUCCCUUUUUUUAGCGCGUUCUGGCCCACACAGCAGAAGGAUGCAUGCACGCCUUUAUGCGCACGAAUGCGUUUUUUUUCCCCGUCAUAUCCCAUUGUUCGCGUUGCGGUGCUCGCCUCUCUUCUUGCGAUCUCCCUCUCACGACAGGCGCGCCUUUUUCUUUCUUUGGGUUUCGAUUUCGUUCCUCGUACACAUAUCUAUGCAUAUUUCUUGUGUUGCCUCCCUCUCUCUCUUUCUCGCUCUCUUCGUUUCCACCUGCAUUGUCCAUAGAGAAGGAGACUGGCGCAAGUGUACGAGCACGUGUGUUUGCGCAUGUUUGUAUGCAUCUGUCUGUGUGCGUGCGCACACGUUUUUUUUUCUUUGGCGCUCGCCGCCACGUCGAAAGGCUCGCCCGUCUUAUGGCGCACACUCCCCACUCACCAUAAAAAGGCACAUGCAUGUGUAUAGCAACGAAGCGCGGGGCAUCGGAAAGGAAGGCGAGACACGGGCCAAACAGAAGGGACCUCUGAAAAGACAUGCGGAGAGGUAGAGAGAUGCAGAAACAGCAAGAAACAUCCGAAAGGCGCGCCUUUAGCUGUUUUGUUCCAACUGUCCCCUUCUCUUGUGCGCCACAUACGCAUACACACACAAACACAAACACAGAGUAAGGCAGAUGCUUCACUAGAAGAAGCUCCAAUACGCUGGAAGCAGCGCAGACGCCGAGUCUCAGCCACGCAAGAACGGGACACAUGCACACACACACACACACGCCCACAAAAGGAGGAAAAAGCAUCAGCGAUAGUAGGCUGGUCAUCGUUACGACUAAUUUCGUUUUUGCUUUUAUUGUGUGUGUGCCCGUCAUUGUCUCCUCCCUGCUUUCCACCCCUCGGAUCUCCUCCCAGGUGUUGACAACCUUCACUGGCUCUAAUCGACUGCUUGCUUGCCACCCCCCAGAGACUGUUUUUCUCUUACUCACUUUCUCUUUGGCCUUGCCUACUCACAAGGGUAGUGUGAUCUCGUCCUCUUUCCUCGUUCCUUAAUGCGUUGUUGUGCUUCCUUCUCUCGCCAUUCCCCAUGCUGUAUGCUGCCUUGCACGAUCUUCUUGUUUGGUCCUGUUUUGUUGUUUUGAUGGGUGUGUUCUCGUGGCCCCAUCUUGAGCCAUUACAGGACAGAAAGAGGCGUAUGUACUAGUACAGGCCAGUAAUUUUUUUUUGUUUUGGCAUCGGUGUAUUAGUGAUGGUACUGGUGAGUCUCGCACUCUCUUUACCCUCCUUGCUUUUCAUCAUUCCCUCUCUGUAUGGCACUCACAGAUGGGGUGGGGUGGGGCUCAUGACGCUCCUUCAUAAACGUCUUUGUUGCGCUUCUUCUCACCUCCUUAUAAUCUUCGCUGCUGGCUCAUCUACUUCGAGAGUAGCUUCUUCCCUUCCUCCCUCUAUCUGUGUGUUAUCACAUUUUUUUUUCUUUAUUCGUUCUAGCGUGCGCAUCGGUCCGUGUACGUGGCUCUCUCUCCAUUCUUUCAAGCCUUUCUUUUCCGUGCAUCUCUUCGAGUGCAAUGCCCCCCGCCCCCACACCUUUCUUUGUUCGCUCUCAGCGGCUGCGGCAUUUCUCUUUAUCGUGCCUCUUCUCUGCGCCCGCCCCCCUCCACCAUCUCACCUUUCUCUCUUUUUCCCCGUUCUAUGUUUAACUGCGUACUUGUGUAGUGUGUGUGUGUGCUGCGAUCUGAUGCUUAUGCCUUUGACUUUCUCUUUGGUUUCCGAAACGCCCUUCACCUCUUCUCCACUUCCUUGCAGAAACGCUAAGCGCCGGCAGCAAGUGCCGCCGCUUCUUCCAGUGGUGUUAGGGCUGUCUCUGCGACGUGCCAAAGGGAAAAAAAACAAAAAGCGUACACGCACAUGCAUGCAAACAUACAAGCCGAAAGGAACCGCCAACAGAACCGAAACAACAACCAAAAAAAAUUGAAAUGAAAGCCGCUGCUCUUGUUGCUCUUGUUGUUUCCCUGCUCCUUCAGCUUUUUCCAUGUAUUCGCACCCUCUUCUAUCCCCACGGUUAUGGCGAGGGUGCGCUUGACAGAUUUUCUUUCCUUGCAUAUUUCGUGCACGCUAUCUGUGUGAGCGCGCGUGUUGUCGUGCUUGUGCGCGUACAUCGCUCUUUUACAGCGAAGGUGGUCUUCAAGGGUACCGCUGAUGGUUGGUGCUGCCGAGUGAUCCGCCCACGUCUCCUGUCCGGUGGGUAACGCGCAGCAUAUGCUUUCUUUCGCUUUCCUGUGCGCUGUUUCUCCGCCUCUCCCCCUGCCUGGCUGCUUUGCUUUUCCCGAUGCUGGAUGUAGUGGUCACCCUUGCCCUUUCCAUGGCCAUACCGCUUUCUUCACCCCUUGUGCUCUCGCUCGGCGCUCUUCUCUUCAUCUUUAUCCGCGUCUGUGAUGGCUCGAUACCAAGCAGUCCGCCUGUGCCCUCAAAUGCAUCCUUGCGUGCUCGCACCAAACAAAGGGUGUGUGCACGCUAUCUGGUGUUCUUUCACUUGCGCGCGCAUGUGGUGUCCUUCUCCUCUUCCUCGACACUUUUUUCUUUGUGUUUCUCUGGCGCCUUUUAUCCAUUGCUGAGGCGCUUGUGUGCUUGUCUAUGGACGCAUAUGCCAUCGUGUGCAUGUGCCUGUCACAUAUUGCUGCUUUUAGUCUUGCUCGGCUCCUCUCUACCUUCUUCCUGAUUGCCCUGGCUUGUGCGUGGUGCUUGUUCGUCUUACUCUCUCUCUCUUCUCUGCAUGCGUGCAGCUUCGUCUAGGUCAGUGUCUGUCCUCCUCCGCCCUUCGCCUCGACCUCACACGCCCCUCCCCCGCCUUCCGUUGUCUGCUUUGAGGGCCUGAUGUUCUCAUUUUCUAUUGCGCUCGUCGUCUGUGCCUGUGCGUGUCCGUGUGUGUCGACUUCCUCGGUGACUUCUGCGUUUUCGCUCUCGCUUUUCUGUUUCUCCCUUUUCCUCUCUCUCGAAUUUUUUGUUGUACGGCCAUAGACAUGAUGCCCCUCCUCACGCCCUCCCGUCCUUUUCUGGCAGCCGCCAGGCACGUCUCCCCGCUGGCACACAUACACACGCGCGCACACACACACAAAUUGAGCGAACCGACCUAGCAGAAUACAUACGCAUACAUGCAUCUCUCUCUCUCUGUUCAUAUACAACGAAUGCAUCAGACAUGGUGUGGUAACGAACACUUGAGGGCCGCAGCCAUACGAAAAGAAUCAAGGUGUGGGAAGGUGGUGCGGGCAGUUGUGGCGGAGGGCAAGAGGACAGCCUACCGAGAUGCCUCUAGAAGCACCUCUUCUCCCCACACCCCCUCUCCCGCCCCACGCCUUUGUGUGACAGCAGCGACGGCAAAGGGAAUCAAGGGCAUUAGCAGGUUACGGGAUGCGCGCGCGGACGCCACAGAGCACACGCGAGCAUGAGUGUGGUUGUGUGGUGGCCACGCGAAAGAAUCGCGCCGUGUGUACACGGCCCGGACGACACAGCAACGAUUACCACCAGUCCGGCGAUACUGGCCUAAAGGACGCACCAAGAGGCUCGUGCGGUGAGUUGUGCAAUAUGCUGGCACAAAAAGUGGUUUCUUCAUGUGCGCGCCCACAAAUAUGUGUCUCUUGAUGCUUCGAAGUGGCUUCCGUUUUCGUGGAGGCGUCGGUGGCAUCGUCGCCUCUCCUUCAUAUCUCGCUCUCUGCAAUCACCUCUUCUCUGUUUCCACUUCUAUUUCCUUUCUUCGACACCCACCGCAUUCCCAAACCUUUCCGGUAG
rnacentral:misc_RNA from 1 species